rnacentral:ncRNA from 1 species
UGACCUCGGAUCAGACGUGAUUACCCGCUGAAUUUAAGCAUAUUAUUAAGCGGAGGAAAAGAAACUAACAAGGAUUCCCCUAGUAACGGCGAGUGAACGGGGAAGAGCCCAACACCGAAUCCCUUGGCGCAAGUCAACGGGAAAUGUGGUGUUAAGGUAGCCCUUCGUGUCAGUCUAGGCGUCUCAAGUCCACCUGAUUGUGGCUCAAGCCCAGAGAGGGUGUAAGGCCCGUAGAGACGCUCCGACUGAUUCCUGGGGUUUAC